UACGUAGGUGGCAAGCGUUGUCCGGAUUUACUGGGUGUAAAGGGCGUGUAGGCGGGCUAUCAAGUCAGAUGUGAAAUCUAUGGGCUUAACCCAUAACGUGCAUUUGAAACUGAGAGUCUUGAGUGAUGGAGAGGCAGGCGGAAUUCCUAGUGUAGCGGUGAAAUGCGUAGAUAUUAGGAGGAACACCAGUGGCGAAGGCGGCCUGCUGGACAUUAACUGACGCUGAGGCGCGAAAGCGUGGGGAGCAAACAGG
rnacentral:rRNA from 1 species